rnacentral:sRNA from 1 species
UUUUUGAGACGGAGUCUCGUUCUGUCGCCCAGGCUGGAGUGCAGAGGUGCGUUCUUGGCUCACUGCAACCUCCGCCUCCCGGGUUCAAGCAAUUCUCCUGCCUCAACCUCCUGAGUAGCUGAGGUUACAGACAUGCAUCACCACGCCCAGCUAGUUUUUGUAUUUUUAGUACAGAUGGGGUUUCACCAUAUUGGCCAGGCUGGUCUCAAACUCCUGGCCUCAAGUGAUCUGCCUGCCUUGGCCUCCCAAAGUGUUGGGAUUACAGGCGUGAGCCACGGUGCCUGGCCAUAUUUUUUAAAAUAUUAAUAGAGCCUGCAUUUCAUUACCUUUCCACUUGGUGAUUCCACACACAUAUAGGAAAUCCAAAGUGUGAUAUUCAUUCACUGCUUCUGUGAAUAAAACAACUACUUGAUUAGAAAAAAAUGAC